AAAGCCUACGGGAGGCAGCAGUGAGGGAUAUUGGUCAAUGGGGGAAACCCUGAACCAGCAACGCCGCGUGAGGGAAGACGGUUUUCGGAUUGUAAACCUCUGUCCUCUGUGAAGAUAAUGACGGUACCUGACUAAGAAGCCCCGGCUAACUACGUGCCAGCAGCCGCGGUAAUACGUAGGGGGCAAGCGUUAUCCGGAUUUACUGGGUGUAAAGGGUGCGUAGGUGGCAGGGCAAGUCAGAUGUGAAAGCCCGGGGCUCAACCCCGGUACUGCAUUUGAAACUGUCCAGCUGGAGUGCAGGAGAG
rnacentral:rRNA from 1 species